rnacentral:rRNA from 1 species
AUUGAACGCUGGCGGCAUGCCUUACACAUGCAAAUCGAACGGUAACGGGCCUUCGGGUGCCGACGAGUGGCGAACGGGUGAGUAAUACAUCGGAACGUGCCCGAUCGUGGGGGAUAACGAGGCGAAAGCUUUGCUAAUACCGCAUACGAUCUACGGAUGAAAGCAGGGGACCGCAAGGCCUUGCGGGGACGGAGCGGCCGAUGGCAGAUAAGGGAGUUGGUGGGAUAAAAGCUUACCAAGCCGACGAUCUCUAGCUGGUCUGAGAGGAUGAUCAGGCACACUGGGACUGAGACAAGGCCCAGACUCCUACGGGAGGCAGCAGUGGGGAAUUUUGGACAAUGGGCGCAAGCCUGAUCCAGCCAUGCCGCGUGCAGGAUGAAGGCCUUCGGGUUGUAAACUGAUUUUGUACGGAACGAAAAGCCUUCUUUUAAUACAGGAGGGUCAUGACGGUACCGUAAGAAUAAGCACCGGCUAACUACGUG